AUUGAACGCUGGCGGCAUGCUUUACACAUGCAAGUCGAACGGUAACAGGCCGCAAGGUGCUGACGAGUGGCGAACGGGUGAGUAAUGCAUCGGAACGUGCCCAGUCGUGGGGGAUAACGCAGCGAAAGCUGUGCUAAUACCGCAUACGAUCUACGGAUGAAAGCGGGGGACCGUAAGGCCUCGCGCGAUUGGAGCGGCCGAUGUCAGAUUAGGUAGUUGGUGGGGUAAAGGCCUACCAAGCCGACGAUCUGUAGCUGGUCUGAGAGGACGACCAGCCACACUGGGACGGAGACACGGCCCAGACUCCUACGGGAGGCAGCAGUGGGGAAUUUUGGACAAUGGGCGCAAGCCUGAUCCAGCAAUGCCGCGUGCAGGAAGAAGGCCUUCGGGUUGUAAACUGCUUUUGUACGGAACGAAACGGUCUGGGUUAAUACCCUGGGCUAAUGACGGUACCGUAAGAAUAAGCACCGGCUAACUACGUGCCAGCCGCCGCCGUAACAC
rnacentral:rRNA from 1 species